rnacentral:rRNA from 1 species
AGGAAGCAGCUUGCUGCUUCGCUGACGAGUGGCGGACGGGUGAGUAAUGUCUGGGAAACUGCCUGAUGGAGGGGGAUAACUACUGGAAACGGUAGCUAAUACCGCAUAAUGUCGCAAGACCAAAGAGGGGGACCCUCGGGCCUCUUGCCAUCGGAUGUGCCCAGAUGGGAUUAGCUUAUUGGUGGGGUAACGGCUCACCAAGGCGACGAUCCCUAGCUGGUCUGAGAGGAUGACCAGCCACACUGGAACUGAGACACGGUCCAGACUCCUACGGGAGGCAGCAGUGGGGAAUAUUGCACAAUGGGCGCAAGCCUGAUGCAGCCAUGCCGCGUGUAUGAAGAAGGCCUUCGGGUUGUAAAGUACUUUCAGCGGGGAGGAAGGGAGUAAAGUUAAUACCUUUGCUCAUUGACGUUACCCGCAGAAGAAGCACCGGCUAACUCCGUGCCAGCAGCCGCGGUAAUACGGAGGGUGCAAACGUUAAUCGGAAUUACUGGGCGUAAAGCGCACGCAGGCGGUUUGUUAAGUCAGAUGUGAAAUCCCCGGGCUCAACCUGGGAACUGCAUCUGAUACUGGCAAGCUUGAGUCUCGUAGAGGGGGGUAGAAUUCCAGGUGUAGCGGUGAAAUGCGUAGAGAUCUGGAGGAAUACCGGUGGCGAAGGCGGCCCCCUGGACGAAGACUGACGCUCAGGUGCGAAAGCGUGGGGAGCGAACAGGAUUAGAUACCCUGGUAGUCCACGCCGUAAACGAUGUCGACUUGGAGGUUGUGCCCUUGAGGCGUGGCUUCCGGAGCU